rnacentral:rRNA from 1 species
CCUACGGGGGGCAGCAGUGGGGAAUAUUGCACAAUGGGGGGAACCCUGAUGCAGCGACGCCGCGUGGGUGAAGGAGUAUUUCGGUAUGUAAAGCCCUAUCAGCAGGGAAGAAAAAUGACGGUACCUGACUAAGAAGCACCGGCUAAAUCCGUGCCAGCAGCCGCGGUAAUACGGGGGAUGCAAGCGUUAUCCGGAUUUAUUGGGUUUAAAGGGUGCGUAGGCUGGGAGGUAAGUCAGCGGUGAAAUGCCCCCGGUAAACGGGGUGAAGUGCCAUUGAUACUGCCUUGCUGGAAUGCGGAUGCCGUGGGAGGAAGGUGGGGUGUAGCGGUGAAAUGCAUAGAUAUCACACAGAACACCGAUUGCGAAGGCAUCUCACGAAUCCGCGAUUGACGCUGAUGCACGAAAGCGUGGGUAUCAAACAGGAUUAGAUACCCUGGUAGUC